UUUCCGUAGGUGAACCUGCGGAAGGAUCAUUAAUAAAUGGUCUACGUUUUUUAAGUAGACGCUUAAUAAUCCUACCCUUUGUGAAUUUGUUUGUUUGAAAUAAUUUUUUUUAAAAUUAUUGAAUGUCUUCCCUGUUGAAUUGGUUGUCUUUAAUGGCAAGUGAUUCGCAGGGGAGUGUCAAUAAUUUUUAAAAAGACCUUUUUUAAAAUUAAACUUUUUGUAUUCAUUUGUCUAAAAAUUAUUUUUAUAAUAUAAAAACAACUUUUGACAGUGGAUCUCUUGGUUCUCGCAACGAUGAAGAACGCAGCAAAAUGCGAUAAGUAGUGUGAAUUGCAGAAUACGUGAAUCAUCGAAUCUUCGAACGCAUAUUGCACUUUUUUAGUUUACUAAAAAAGUAUGUCUGUUGAGUAUCAGUAAAAUAUUCUCAUAAAAAACAUUGUUUUUAUGGUUAUGAGUGUUUUACAACGAUACAAGUUGUUUCACUUUAAAUUUUUUUUAAAUUUGAAUUUUCUAAUUUUAAAAUAAAAUUGGAUAAAAUUUUCCCGUAAAAAGGAAUAACCUAAACAAUUUUAAUUUUUGAUUAGAAAAUCCAAACUAAAAGGAAAAUUUAGCUAAAUAACUUGAUCUCAAAUCAGAUAAGAGUACCCGCUGAACUUAAGCAUAUCAAUAAGCGGAGGAAAAGAAACUAACAAGGAUUCCCUUAGUAACGGCGAGUGAAGCGGGAAGAGCUCAAAUUUGAAAUCUUCAAGGUUUUACCUUGACGAAUUGUAGUUUAAAGAAGUGUUUUCUGUUGAAGUUUUGGUAAAAGUUCUUUGGAAUAGGACAUCAUAGAGGUGAGAAUCCCGUAUUUGACCAUUAUUUUCAGCUGUGUGAUACACUUUCAAAGAGUCGGAUUGUUUGGGAAUGCAGUCCAAAAUGGGUGGUAAAUUCAUCUAAAGCUAAAUAUUGGCGAGAGACCGAUAGCGAACAAGUACCGUGAGGGAAAGAUGAAAAGAACUUUGAAAAGAGAGUUAGACAGUACGUGAAAUUGUCAAAAGGGAAGCGUUUGACACCAGUGUUGUUUUCUCGAAAAUCAAUUAAAAAAAGUUGGAUUUUGUGUUGUAUUGACCUUAACAGCUUGCUUCACUCUUUUCCUGCUUUUUUUAAUGCACUUUUCGUUUAACAAGUCCACAUCAGUUUCUCUUUUGUUGUAAAAGGGUCAUUGGAAGGUGGCUUUCUCUUCGGAGAAAGUGCUUAUAGCCUUUGAUCUCUGCAAUCGGAGAGACUGAGGUCUGCAGCGUAGAUCCUUCGGGUUAGAUACAUUUGUGCUAAGCUACAGCUUUUCAUAGACAACUUGUUGACUAUGUUUAGUCUUGUGACUUACCCGCUUAUGCUAUUUACCUACGCUUAGGAUGUUG
rnacentral:misc_RNA from 1 species